GCAGAAUUCAGUGAAUCAUCGAAUCUUUGAACGCAAAUGGCGCUCUUGGGUUCUCCCAGGAGCAUGUCUGUCUGAGUGUCUUCUUCGUUGAAUGACAUUCGCACGAUGUGGCCGUGUCAUGCACUGGCGUUUCGUGCGGCGUUGAGGUUCGCGGCCUUGCUAUUCUUAGGCCGCGUGCCUUUAAAUGGAGGAGGAAGAUGGGCUCAAGGUCCGGUGCAGUCGCAUGCGGAUUCAGUUCAUGUGCCGCAUGUGACUGCUGCACCGGGAAUAUUGUCCUCGGCCCUCUACCUCGUGACCUUUAGCACGACGCUCGUUCGUUCGUUGCUUGCCGCCAGACCUCAGAUCAGGCAAGGCUACCCGCUGAAUUUAAGCAUAUUAAUAAGCGGAGGAAAAGAAACUAACAAGGAUUCCCCCAGUAACGGCGAGUGAAGCGGGAAGAGCUCAAAUUUGAAAUCUCCGAUGCCUGCAUCGGCGAGUUGUAGUUGCGAGAAGCACUUUCUAGGCGGAAGGGCCCUGCCUAAGUUGCUUGGAACAGCACGUCGCAGAGGGUGACAACCCCGUCU
rnacentral:sRNA from 1 species